UCGAUUCGCACCUUUCUAUUGGUCUCCUGAUUCGAUAUGUAUUCAGAGAUUCAGCCGCCAAAUUGGGCCAAACCUUCUCUGAAUCGAAUCAGCACCUGAAGCUUCGCACAGCCCUACAAACUACCUAUGCAUUAACUUCCUUUAGCAAGGGAUCUAUUACUAGAUUUAGAUAACAUGUCAAACAGGUGAGCAGCAAGCUGAGGAACACAAUUGUCAGUUCCCCAAGCCAUCCAAUCACACCUCCAAAUCUAUUGCAUAAGGAAGAAAUGGAUUAACAACUAUCAUAAAACUGUUUAUAGAUGUUUCUAAGUUAACUGAUAACUCAAUUGUCUUUGUAGAUGUGCUCUGACACCAGAUUCUCUCGUGCUGGAUGGGUAAAAGACCUCUACCUCAAAAGUUUAAACUCUUCUACACAGAAAGGAGCGCUUCUUCUUGGUUCUAUUUAAGAUAGCAAUUUCAAGUACCCAGCAAUCACUUCCUGCCCCCCUGGGCUCAUACUCCAGCUUGUUCUUUAGUGUCUAAUUUAACAGUAGACACAAUAUUCACAUAAUAAAUUGAGAUGACAGUGGCAGUACAAUUACAGAAGACCAAAAUAUACACCAUUGAGUUAUGUCCUGGUUGCUUCCAAUCCAUCCACACCAUCACAGGAUACUUUCUACCUUAGCUUAAAAGGUCAGAAAAAGGAAGUUCAAGCAGUCUGAAAGGGGACCACACAGCAGCGACACAGGGAUUAAGCUACACAGCACAAAUGACUUGAUCUUACUGCAGAAAAAACAUGUUUGUUUGUUUUUUUAAUAAAAACUAAUAUGGCCUUGAGCAUAGAAUUGAGAGAACAUUGAAAAAAAAUAUCAUCUGAUAUAUUUAGAAAACUCUGCUAGGAGUCUUAUGUUGCUUGCUCCUCAUUUAAAUGUUGUGCUUCUCUAAACAAUUAAACUAGCUCUGAAUAAGAAUCUGCAAGAUUUAAUGUGUACAUCUGAGGUUGAGUCUACAGGCCCAGCCAAAAACACACCGCUGUUUCUAUAAAAAGGUUGACGGCUUCCCUUUCAUCUUCUCUAAGCCUGAAAAGUUAGUACAGGCAUCCUCUCUAUUAAAAGGGAUAGCAGAGGGCUCCAGUUCACAGGUUGACCAAAAAGGAAUAAAAGUACAUGAUUGCAAGAAUAACUGUGUCAAGUACCAUAUUUACAGCACGCACCUUUUUCCCCAAAACUCAACACCCCAAAAUUGGGGUGUGUACAUGAAGCAAGGAAGCUGAUUUUCUGCCUACGGUGGGAAACAUCCUGGUUUGAUUCCGGCUGUACAGUGCAGCAGCUGUGGUAUUACUGUUCAGGGUGCUGAGAGUCAAUGAACUUAAUGGCUCAUUGUUCUUCACUCUACAGAUGUUGACAAUAAUCUCUCCUUUUUAAUGGUCUCCAUGUUCCACUAAUCAAACUAACCUCUCUCCCUUUGUUCGAGCCAUUUUGCUAUCACCUAGCUGCUCCUGAUCUCUAUUUCACAGCUUAUUUAUUAGCUCAUUUCAAAAAUCAUCUCUCUCACAUGGAGACCAGUGUUCAGGAGCAGCUAGGGAUUCAACUUUAGUUAUGGAGGAAAGGAAGGGUGAAUCACCUGAAGAUUACACUCAGUCCCUGCUCUAUGCAGCCAUAAUCCUGGGGAAAAAAACGUUAUUUUUUUUAAAUUCUAUCUUUCAAAAACAAAGUGUGUAUUAUAUUUGAGGGUGUAUGUACGUGAAAUGUAUGGUAUCUUUUAUUCUUCAGAAAAGAAGGCAUUCAGUUAGCAAUUCAGAACACUGAGUGGAGAAAGGGGAUGGAUGAAAGAGAAUGACUUUAGGAGUGUUUUAGGCUAGGUAUUUAUUGCUUCCUAACAGUAUUACAACCUAUUGUUCCUAUUCCCAAUCAACUGAUUUAGGCCUAUAAAUUAGCGAUCAAGCCAUGUUUUAAAUUGUGGCUGGAAACUGCAUACCACCUUUGCCAGUGUUUAUCAAUUCACCGUAAUUACUGAUGUGGCAAUUGUUCACUUAAAGGUGCCAACAUGGGAGCUUGAGAUACAUCCUUGAUUGCAACUGCAAUGCCCAACUUCCAUAUUUAUAUGCAUGUUCUAAUUUUUUCCCUAAAAUAUACACACAUUCUUUAAAAUAAACAAACACCCAAACAUACUAGUUCCUUUCCAGCAUUCAUUACAAACAUCUGCCUCUAUAAGGUGAGAAAGGAAAGCUUUUCUGGAUGGUAUCAAAAGCCUUGACAGGUAUAGAGUCAUCUUAUUUUGAACUGCACUUCCUACUUCUAAUGAAGACAGCUGUGUUUUCUACUACCCCAAAUAGAAGUCAUAGUGGGGGAACAGUCUGGAGGUUUAUCCCUCAAGUUCAAAAGCUAAAGUUUUCAGUUGUGGCCACUGAUUUUAGGUGCCCAAUUUGAGAGUCCUUGGUCUGAUUUUCAAAGGCAAUGAGCAAUCUGCAAUUUUAAUAUCCAACAAGCUUAACACUCUAAAUGGUUUGAGGAAAUUAAAAAAAACCCAAGUGUAUAAAUGCCUCUACCAAAUUUUACACAUUCCAUGUAUUCUUGGGGGUCUAUCCAGCUUAUGGAAUUAAAAAGAAAAGUGCCACACAUCUCUGGUUAAGACUGGUGCAAGUUUGAAAAUAGACAUGCUUAAGAUUCAAGCAUUCGACAUGAUAUGAAACAAAGAUCUGAUUAAAAGAAAUGGCACUACCUAUUACUAUUUAUAUUGCAGCCCCGGUCAUGGAUUAGGACCGCAUUGCGAGAGAGACUGUACAAACAGAGCACAAAAAGACAUUCCUUGCCUCAAAUACCUUGGAAAUAUUAAGAUAUACCUUUGGCCAGCUGCAAUGAAAUCCUUCACUUCUAGACAGCUCAUGAUUUUUUUCUCUCAUCUCAGUGAGUCAGUCUUUAAUUUCAGAUAUCUUGCUGCCAUCACCUGCCUAACUGCCACUGCUUUAGUGCCUUUGAAGAGCCUGACUGACCACACCACGCUUCCUCCUCUCUUACAGUGGUGGUCUCCAGUGUCUGUCAGGAAAGACCUAGGGUCUCCAUCCCAAAUGUAAAAUCAAUUAAAUUAAUGGCUUUUAACCAUUUUGGUUUCUCUUCUCUUGUCCUCACAAAACCAUUCCCCACUCAAAAGGCUACCUAAAGUAACUACUGAACUGAUAUAUCUUACUAGGGGCUGGAGGUAUAAACUUGACUCAAGCUCAAUCUGCUUUUAAAAAAAAGAGUUUUUUAUAUAUAAAUUCUACUCUUCAUUAAUGACUCAUGGACAAAUUAAUCAAUCAGUCAAGGGCAGCCCCAGAAACGUAUGUUAGUUCUCAACAGGUAGUUCUUUGUUACAAGAUCCAGUGAAUAUGUGAACUUAAAUGGUGGGGGAAAAGGGCUGCAUUUGUUUUCUAUAGAUGAUAAUACAUCAGCAUUAAGCAUAUUAAUUGAAGGUUUAAUGGAUUACUACCUCUUCUUGCUCUUUAGAUCAUAGAAUCAUAGAAGUAGGGUUGGAAGGGACCUUGUAGAUCUUCAAGUCCAACCCCCUGCCUGGACAGGGAGAAAACUGGGCUCAAAUGACCCCAGCCAGGUAGGCAUCGAGCCGCUUCUUAAAGACCCCCAGGGUAGGAGCCAGCACCACUUCCCUUGGAUGUCAAGGGAUGAAAAUCACCAGCUGAAAGCUGGGACAAAAUGAAUUUUACAUUAACUAUCAAAGGAUUAAAAUUUUCCUGAUCUGUAUGCAUCUAUACAUUUGGAAAAACAAAUUAGCAGAUAAGCUAUACUAAAUUGUCUUGAUGUUGAGAAACAGAAAUAGCAUCUUAUUAUAUACAAUACAGAACUGUAAGUUGAACUAAGCAAGAAUGAAUGAAGCUUUUUACACUUAAUAAUGCUAAAGAGCUGGGCUGGGGAUAAGAUAUAUUAAUAGUUCAUGACUGUAGCUAAUGACAGAGUUAUGGCAAUUAAAUUCAAAUGAAGUAUCAUCCAUUUGUCUUUCCAGAAGCAUGAUAAAUUUAGGUUAUCGUACAGGUAAGUGCAAGCAUAUAAUGCAUAGGGAACAGCUCAUAUCAUCUGCCUUAAAAAUGCCAAAAUUGAAUGUUUUUUGUUGUCAUGGUCCACUUGCUAAGCUCAAUCGACAAUUUGUGCAUUUUUGGCAUAAGUGUUAAUGCAACAAAGAGAACCCAUUUCUGAUAACAGAGAAGAUGUGUGCAAAACUUAAUUCUCCCUCAAUCAACCUAUGAGUGCCGGACUUGCACUGGAAUUACAGGCAUUUUUACAUGUGCUCUGGGGGUAAAGGAGAGGUCCACUCUAAAGCACCACAGCGUCUUGUGUACAAGUGUCUUACUCAAUGAACUUUAGUUCAAGCGCUGCCAUUGCCAUUUUGAAGCAUGGGGAUGCCAAUACAUGAGAUGCAGAGGCUGGCUGGAGCACAGUAAUUACCAUGCUCCAGCAGACUUGAUUAAUCAAGCCUGCUCUAGCAUACUGUAAUUACAGCAUGUCAGAGGAGCCUCUGUGUUCAUGUAUAGGCACUAGGCCUGUACGAAACAGCUAGUAUUCGCUUUGGAUUCAGAUUUGGCCAAUUUGGGGGACAGCGAUUCGAUUCAGUGAUUCGAAUCACCGUCUCGAAUUGAUUCAGCCAAAUCUGAUUCGGAGAUUCAGCCACUGCCGAAUUCAACAGGCCCCUUUUUCAUAAAUGGCUGCCCCACCCGGCCCCAGCCUCCUGGCUCUUUAAAAAAAAAAAAAAAAAAAAA